rnacentral:lncRNA from 1 species
UUUUCACGAUCAGGCCAAACGCAACGUUCGGUGUAUGCUUCCGAUCCAGUUUCACAAUCAUCCCAUUUCGAUUUUUCGAACCAAAAGAGCUUUGUCAUCGGUAACCUAGCGCCUUCAAUGUUGUACAGGGAGCAGCGUCGGAAGCUUGGUGCCGACGGGAGGUCAUUGGAAGCUUGAAAACAACGGCGACAACAUGACUAAUCGGCGUCGGAGCCGGUCGAAGGACGAUUGGUUAGAUUUCAUGAAGGCAGAAUCGGAGGGAGCGAAAAACGGUCGUGAUCUGUUCAAGAAUCGAUGCGGUGACGAUCUCAAGGGUGAAUAAUGAAGACAAUUGAAAAGGUGAGAGGGAUUUUUCGUUUCUGAAUUUCAGUGCUUCUCUCCCCCCUUUUCUUGAUUUUUAUUCUUCUUCAAUUUGCCAUAUUCUUUCCUGGUUCGGUUUGAUACCGCUCUGUUUUCGAAAUUGUAGGGGAGGUUGAGAGUGUUAUCACAGUUGAGGGUGAGGAAGUUUGUUGGAUGGAAUUGGAAGUUUGGAGGAGGUUGGUAUUGUUAGAAGGUUGGAGUUGGUUGGUUCCGUUAGUUUUGGGAUAUCGGUGUUGGUGGGUGAGGUUCUCAGUUGCAGGUUCUGUUGAAGUUUUUUCAAGUCAUGGUUGUUGGAACGGUUGAGGGUUGAAGAGGGUGAAGAGGGUGAUAGAAGGAAUGAAGAGUGGUGGCUGGAGAGUGAAGUGAGCGUCUCUUUUUUUGAAGAAUGAUGAGAGGAAGAGAGUUUAAUUUAUGAAGAUGAUCCCGUCUGAAGUCAGUUGCAACCGAUUUCUGUUAUAUCAUUUCGGGAGGUUAUGAAGUUGGUUGAAGUUUGUUAACAGUUGGGUCCCUCAAUUGAAGGUUGUUGAGUUUGUUAUAGGGGGUUAAAAGUUUGUUAGAAAAUUCAGUUGGGAUUAUUUGGUGAGUUCAAGCUGAAUGGAAAUUGUGCCGGUUAAACGUUUCUGUCACUGAAUUUAUGUACUGGUUUGGUCCUGCUACGACUCGGCUCGUGCCUUGGUUUACUUUUUCCAUUUUUGCUAUUUGUGUUGUAGCUUCUAUUUCACUUCUAUUUCUUAGUUUCCUUCUGUGAUUUUGAUUCGGUUAGAAUUGUCUUUUGUGUUAGAAGAUGUGUUUGUUAUAUGUUGGUUUAAAAUGUUUCAAGAAUGAGGUUAGUCUUUUUUGUACUAUGGAAACUAAUUAGAAAUUGGUUUGAACCUUCCGUUAUGCAUUUGCAGGUUGGAUGGUUGAGUGGUCUUGGAAGAAAGCUCCAUGGGUGGUGAGGUCAUUGCUAGCAUGUUGUCGGUUCUUUUGGUUAUUUGAUUGAAGUUGGAAAAAGUUCAGUUCUGUUAAGGUUGUUAAAGGGUUCGUUACAGUUGGAGGUUGGGUUCAAUUGAAGGGUUCUGUGAGGUUGGUGCAGAGAGGGUGAUUGGAUUGAGAAAAGUGAAGGUUUUUGCGGUGAAGGUUAUGUUCUGAUGGAAGUUUCUUGAGAAGGAUCAUGAAGGAGAUAGCUCCUGUUGAGGUUUUAUGGUGAAGGUUAUGAAGGAAGUUAAUUGGAAUUCGGCUAUCGGUUGGUUAGGAAGUUAGAAUUCAGUUUUGUGUUCUAAUUGAAUUCUGUUUUGACUGUUAUGACAGUUAGAGGAAAAAAGUUCUGUUAGGAUGAUGAAGUUUUUAUUAAGAGGGGUGAGUUGAGUGGAGAGAAGGUUCGAGUUAGUUGUGUGGAGACUUUCUUCUGCUGAGAGUUGAUUAUUUAUAGGUUUAUUUUCAGUCAUGGCUCUGCUGGUACUGCACGCUAUUUCUUUUCUAUUAGCAUUCUCGACGGAAGCUUUCGGUGAGUUUUCCCUUUUUUCUGAAAUUCCGUUAGAAUAUUUUGGUUAGAGAUCCCCAUUUUAUAAUUCUGUUAAUGAUAUGCCUUGAACCGAAUGAUAUAGGUGGUCCAUUUUGUAGGUUUGAGGAAUUGAUGCGAGAAGUGGUCGUGAAACCGGUUUGUCGCAGGGUUUUAUCCAUGGUUUAUAAUGGUUGUGAAAGGCCUUGGUAGAACGGUUUUUGUUUUUUAUCCAUUGCAGGUUUGGUUAGUUAUUAAUGAGGUUGAAGGGUUUGGUCUUUAGUGAAGUUAAUAUUGUUCUGUUUUUGUGCAACUACCGAUUACUGGGUAGAAGGCCACAAAGUUCCACUGGGGAAAAGGAUGAACAAUUACUGGUUACUGAGCAAUUUGAACAACUAAACCACAGGAAACUGCAAGGGAAAAACAAAAAAGGAGUCAAUCUAGGAAACAAACUAGAGAGACACAAUGAAACAAGACUCAACCUGAUGAGGAUAUAACUCAGGGGAGUAAUUCCAUCCCAAUACAUAAUUAGGGAGGAAAUUGAAACAAUAAUCAUCCACGAGGACAUAACUCAGUGGGGACUGAAAAAGGAGAGAUAGACACUUUCUGCCUAUAGGGAUGACUCUAUAUGGAGAGAUCAGACACCGACAUCUGCUUGAGGAGGAACAUUUCACCAAUAGCGGGAGAUAACAAGCAAAGAUAUAUGGCAAAGAAUGCAACAUGAAUAUCUGAAUGCUAUGAUUAUGCAUGUAUAUACAUGGUUUAUGUGUGAUUAAUGCUGACAAACAGACAUAUCUAACACAAACAGGUCCGAGAAUCAAUGGACGGACGUCCGGUAAAACAUCUCAAAAGAGAAAGGCCAGGCCCACAGGAGAAAUCAAAUCUGGUGGGGAGCAUCAAAUACCAGGAGACACCAAUCACUGCUGGGGACAAAGACCACUGUUGGGGACAAACAAAGGUCACAACUAUCAACCGCCGGGGAUAGGCAAAGUCUCAGCUACCAACUGCUGGGGAUCUUCCAACAAUUCUCGGGAACAUGCAGAGAUAUCAAUAAGAUCUGUCGUAGAAUAACUCUACCGGGGAUCUUAUCAGGGGAUGAUAUGAAACUCUGUGGGGAACAACCACCAAACAGACACACAUCAAGUAAGCAUUCUCUUCUAACUUCUGAAGAGACAUCUCU